ensembl:misc_RNA Metazoa_SRP Metazoan signal recognition particle RNA
GCCGGGAGCGGUGGCAUGUGCCUAUAGUCCCAGCUACUCAAGAGGCUGAGGUGGGAGGAUUGCUUGAGUCCAGGAGUUCUGGGCUGUAGUGCACUAUGCAGAUCUGGUGUCCGCACUAAGUUCGACAUCCAUAUGGUGACCUUUCGGGAGUGGGGGACCUACAGGUUGUCUAAGGAGGGGUGAACUGGCCCAGGUCAGAAAUGGAGCAGGUCAAAACUCCUGUGGUGAUCAGUAGUGGGAUGGCACCUGUGAAUAGUCACUGCACUCCAGCUUGGGCAACAUAGCGAGACCCCGUCUCUA